rnacentral:tRNA from 1 species
UCCCUGGUGGCUCAGAUGUUAAGGCGUCUGCCUACAAUGCAGGAGACCCAGGUUCAAUCCCUGGGUUGGGAA